rnacentral:ncRNA from 1 species
CGCUCUUCGGGAGAGCCCACGCGAAGCCAUCGCGUCGGCGCCGUAGGUGCAAUUCCCUCCCCGGGAAACUCUCAGGCCCAGUACUGGAGA